CUAUCCACAACUAUCAUCAUGCAAUCAACAAGGUAUAUAUAAACAAACGAUAAACAAACGUAAUCGACAUGUAGAGACUACGAUACUGAUAUGAAAGAAUAGAGGAAAGUGAAACGAUCUCACUGACUACCAGCUCGAAGCACCCACCUUCACUAUCGCGUCGAAAACCUAGGUGCGCAACAAGUCAACCGGAUCUACGAAGAUCCACCGGAUCAGUAACCAACCCACCAAUCCAACAUACUCAACUCACAAACCCCACACAAAUCCCCAAAAUCGGUUUCCUUAAACCGAUUACCGUAACUUGCCAGAAGUCCCGAAAAUCACACUG
rnacentral:lncRNA from 1 species